CUCCAGCUGGUCGACCUGAUCUCCCGUUUCAGCUGGCUACCCCGAAGGCCAACGGCGUCAGGCCGGUCCAGAUCUGGCGGCUCUACUCGGCGACCUUUGCUGUGAUGAAUCACAAGGCCGACCGGUAUCUGACUACAAGACUGGUUGGAUCUAUCACUUAAUCCUGCUGUUGUGCCAUCUUCUCUUCUCAUACUUUCAAGAGCUUUUACCCUGGCUGGGAGAACGAAACCCGUGGAUGCUGUUGUAGCAACAGCGUCUUCUUUGCCAGAUGAAGUUAUGGAUACAAUUGGGACAGUAUUGCCAUCUGAAGAUUCAGUUUCUGAGAGGAGGAGAAAACCGAAAUUCCUUGAGAUGCAGGAAGAACUUAUCAAGGAGGAGAGAAGAAGAAAGAGAAAGAAGAGAAGGCAAAACAAAAGAAGGAAGAAAAGGCAAUUCUCACAGAACAGGAGGCCGCUGAAGAAGAUUUGGCUUUAAAGGAAAUGAUUGGGCCUACUGCUAGGGAAGAAGAAGAAAUGAUAGAAGCAAAACAACAUGACCAACAGCAGCUCUGUAAUGUCAGUCGGGCAUUGGCUGUGCUGGCAUCUGCAUCGGUAUGAUCCUGGUCCAUCUGUAUUUUCUGUCAGUACGUCGCGGACUCUUUAGUGAUAGUGCC